GAAUGCUGACAUAAGUAACGAUAAAGCGGGUGAAAAGCCCGCUCGCCGGAAGACCAAGGGUUCCUGUCCAACGUUAAUCGGGGCAGGGUGAGUCGACCCCUAAGGCGAGGCCGAAAGGCGUAGUCGAUGGGAAACAGGUUAAUAUUCCUGUACUUGGUGUUACUGCGAAGGGGGGACGGAGAAGGCUAUGUUGGCCGGGCGACGGUUGUCCCG
rnacentral:rRNA from 1 species